rnacentral:rRNA from 1 species
CUUAACCGACAGACUGCGUUUGAAACUGGUUAUCUUGAGUGUAACAGAGGAGAGUGGAAUUCCUAGUGUAGUGGUGAAAUACGUAGAUAUUAGGAAGAACACCAGUGGCGAAGGCGACUCUCUGGGUUAACACUGACGCUGAGGUACGAAAGCUGGGGGAGCGAACGGGAUUAGAUACCCCGGUAGUCCCAGCCGUAAACGAUGGAUACUAGGUGUUGGAGGUUCGAAUCCUUCAGUGCCGGAGUUAACGCAUUAAGUAUCCCGCCUGGGGAUUACGAUCGCAAGAUUGAAACUCAAAGGAAUUGACGGGGGCCCGCACAAGCGGUGGAGCAUGUGGUUUAAUUCGAAGCAACGCGAAGAACCUUACCGAGAAUUGACAUCCCGUGACCAUCUAUGAGAGUAGAGUUUGACACUUUGUGUCACAC